GAUUCAAAGAAUCUCAACUUUUUGGUUCUAGCAAGGUAUCAUUUUAUUUUUUAUUGCAGAUUUAAAAGACGAACAGUAUGAGCAGAAGCUUGCUGAGAUAGCGAAUGGAGUCCAAAGGAGCAAAUCACUGGAUUGCGAACACAUUAGGGAAGUGGUAGCAUCUUUAGAUGAAAGUCUGUACGAUAAGGUGUCUUCAACUCCGACUUCGAAACGAGGUAAGGAGUUCGAGGAUCUGCCGCAGUUCAGACCGGAUCAAAUGGGAGGUUCAAUAAACAAACGUAGACUGUUGGCUCCUUUGCUGACCCUGACUCUUCCGUCGACAGAGGAACUGCGAGCAGGGAUACCGACAGUGCCCUCAACGUCUUCCAAAUCACCGUCCCCCCAGUCCGCCCAGUUCUCUACUCCCAAGGAUGCUUUCCCUUUCAGGGACGAUACUCAAUCGGCGCUGUUUGACAACAAGGAAGUUUUGCCGCCGUCUCGCUUGUCAAAAUGGUCCAAAGUUAAGAACGCAUUCCUGACGUCAACAAUUCCUUCCUCAUCGAGCGUCCACGUCAGCUCUUCCGUUCCGUCCAGUCCCAGCCGGGUUUCCAGUUUUAUUUACGAUUUAGAACCUGACGAUUUAGAGGGUGGAGAUUCAGGGGAGGACGCAAGGAAAGAUGACGUGUUCCCGGAAGAUAGCCGAGUGGACGUUCAAAAGACGUACAGACAGCUCCAGAUGAAACUUAGUGCUGAA
rnacentral:lncRNA from 1 species